UACAGAGGUCUCAAGCGUUGUUCGGAUUCAUUGGGCGUAAAGGGUGCGUAGGUGGCGGGGUAAGUCAGGUGUGAAAUUUCGGAGCUUAACUCCGAAACUGCAUUUGAUACUGCCUUGCCUGAGGACUGGAGAGGAGACUGGAAUUCACGGUGUAGCAGUGAAAUGCGUAGAUAUCGUGAGGAAGACCAGUGGCGAAGGCGGGUCUCUGGACAGUUCCUGACACUGAGGCACGAAGGCCAGGGGAGCAAACGGG
rnacentral:rRNA from 1 species